UGCGUUUUACAUUAGAAACAAGGGUGGGCUCGACUUUUGACUUACUGUGGAGAGAAUAUGUCAUUUUCUGAACUUCUGCUGAUUUGCUUGAAAAAAGCACGUACAUGUCUAGAGUUUGGAUGCAAAAAUCGAUUUUUAAACAUGACAAUCUCGACCCAAGUGGUCCGAGACCACAAUUGUCGUCCCUUGAUUUUCGUUGUUCCACGAAUAUAGUCCCAAAUGUU
rnacentral:lncRNA from 1 species